UCCAUUCCGCUCAGCUGUCCACGCAGAUGGCAACAGUGAUCUAAUCAGUCUAAGCCCCUACACCAGAGUCGCUGCAAGUGCCGCAGAUCGGGACGUCAAAACACAGAGCCGUGCAUCCUGGUGAUCGUUCGGCACGUUUACUGCUGAGGAAGACCAACGAGCUGGAGAGAAAUACUAACUAAGCUAAGUCCUCUCUAAUCAGGCACAGAGCAUCUCUAAUUGGGGACAGUGAAGAGGAGGUGAGGUGAGGGGGCCAUUAGUCUCCAUAUGCCUUCAGUAACAGGAAAGUCAUGAAGGCUGAAGACCUUGAUGAGAAAGAGGCCCAGAUAUAAAACCAUCAACGUGGCACGGUCUCUGGGAUAAAACAGAUGUUGCCAUCCAGUUGUGCUCUUUUCUCACUCAGACUGAGGACAGAUAUCACUCACCCAUCUCCCAUGUUGCACCAGGGCAUCAUAUUGCCGAGGCUGUUAUCCACGUUACAUGGAUAUCACUGUGUGUAAUUCACUUUAAGUGCAUCCAUCCAUUCAUUUAUUCACUCAUUUGUUCACUUUCCGUUCUCUAAAUAAAACCCUGCGGUGUUGCUCAUUGA